GUAUAAAUCACCACCGUACAUCUUUACACCUAAAGGGGCAGUCUAAGCACGAUAAUCACUUCAUCAUCCAGUUUAAAGUCUGGCAUUAGAACGUAGCGUAUGCCUCAUACAGAAGCAUUGCAUUGGCGGAGAGCAGCAUUUCCUGUGCACGCUUUGGAUAUCUGCAAUGUUUCUCCAAGAGAAGCGUCUGAUUGUUGACUUGUAG